UUGGGUUAAGUCCGCAACGAGCGCAACCCUUAUCAUUAGUUGCUACCAUUUAGUUGAGAACUCUAAUGAGACUGCCGGUGAUAAACCGGAGGAAGCGGGACGACGUCAAGUCAUCAUGGCCCUUAUGGGAUGGGCUACACACGUGCUACAAUGGGGAGUACAAAGAGCAGCCAACUGGCGACAGUGCGCGAAUCUCAAAAAACUUCUCGUAGUCCGGAUUGGAGUCUGCAACUCGACUCCAUGAAGUCGGAAUCGCUAGUAAUCGCGAAUCAGAAUGUCGCGGUGAAUACGUUCCCGGGCCUU
rnacentral:rRNA from 1 species